CCUACGGGUGACAGCAGUGAGGAAUAUUGGUCAAUGGGCGCUAGCCUGAACCAGCCAAGUAGCGUGAAGGAUGACUGCCCUACGGGUUGUAAACUUCUUUUAUAAGGGAAUAAAGUGAGGCACGUGUACCUUUUUGUAUGUACUUUAUGAAUAAGGAUCGGCUAACUCCGUGCCAGCAGCCGCGGUAAUACGGAGGAUCCGAGCGUUAUCCGGAUUUAUUGGGUUUAAAGGGAGCGUAGAUGGGUUGUUAAGUCAGUUGUGAAAGUUUGCGGCUCAACCGUAAAAUUGCAGUUGAUACUGGCAGCCUUGAGUACAGUAGAGGUAGGCGGAAUUCGUGGUGUAGCGGUGAAAUGCUUAGAUAUCACGAAGAACCCCGAUUGCGAAGGCAGCUUGCUAGACUGUGACUGACAUUGAUGCUCGAAAGUGUGGGUAUCAAACAGGAUUAGAUACCCCAGUAGUC
rnacentral:rRNA from 1 species